rnacentral:rRNA from 1 species
ACUACGGAGAGUUUGAUCCUGGCUCAGGACGAACGCUGGCGGCGUGCCUAACACAUGCAAGUCAGGGAGAAAGGGAUAGCAAUAUCCCGAGUAAACCGGCGCACGGGUGAGUAACGCGUAGGUAAUUUGCCCUGGAGACAGGGAUAACCUUGCGAAAGCGAGGCUAAUACCGGAUAGGCAAUCUUGGGGCAUCCCAAGAUUGUUAAAGGAUUGGCAACAAUCCGCUCCAGGAUAAGCCUGCGUCCGAUUAGCUAGUUGGUAGGGUAAUGGCCUACCAAGGCGACGAUCGGUAGCUGGUCUGAGAGGAUGAUCAGCCACACUGGGACUGAGACACGGCCCAGACUCCUACGGGAGGCAGCAGUGAGGAAUAUUGGGCAAUGCCCGAAAGGGUGACCCAGCAACGCCGCGUGGAGGAUGAAGUCCUUCUGGACGUAAACUCCUUUUAGAGGGGACGAAAAGCCCGAUUUGUCGGGAAUUGACGGUACCCUCAGAAAAAGCACCGGCUAACUACGUGCCAGCAGCCGCGGUAAUACGUAGGGUGCAAGCGUUGUCCGGAUUCACUGGGUGUAAAGGGUGCGCAGGCGGGCUCUUAAGUCAAAGGUGAAAUCUCUCGGCUUAACCGAGAAAUUGCCUUUGAUACUGAGAGCCUUGAGUACGGGAGAGGGAGAUGGAAUUCCAGGUGUAGCGGUGAAAUGCGUAGAUAUCUGGAGGAACACCGGAGGCGAAGGCGGUCUCCUGGCCCGUUACUGACGCUCAGGCACGAAAGCG